rnacentral:tRNA from 1 species
UCCCCAGUAGCUCAGCCGGUAGAGCAGAUGACUGUUAAUCAUCGGGUCGGUGGUUCGAGUCCGACCUGGGGAG